UGAUGCGUCAGGACACACAGCGUGCGUGACUGCUGGAUUACACGCAAUGCCG
rnacentral:snoRNA from 1 species